GUGGGAAGAGUCUUCUGGUAUAUAUACACGACAACUUGUCUCCUCAUCACCAGUUCUCCUCUUCUCACAAAGAAAAACAAGACACUCACCAUGAAAUUCUCACUCAUCUUCGUUUUUGUUGCUAUGCUUCUGGCUGUCAGCCUUGCCCAUCGCCACCGUCGGCAUCGUCAUCAUCACCACCAUCAUCACUCCUCUUCAGUUAAGCACGUGCACCACUACCACUCAUCGGGAUCCUCAGGCUCCUCCGGCUCCUCCGGCUGCGGCUGUUGUGGAGGCAGCUCCGGAUCCUCCUCUUCCUCCUCCGAGGACUACCCCAUCCCAAUCCCCGUCCCCAUCCCCAGCGGCGGCAGCAGCAGCAGCGGCAGCAGUGGUGCCUCCGACGCAGCCCUUCUGCAGGCUCUCAUCAACGCUGGAAAAUAGGCGAUGAGUUGUCACUUUAAAGUCUCUGCCGGCAGCUUUGAAUUUAACAUUGGAACAAAGGAUUGAAUAAAU